rnacentral:misc_RNA from 1 species
CACCCUCCCACCCACCACCACCAUCACCUUUUGCUCUCACCUUCCGCGCGGAACCCUCCUCUCUGGCGAAAGAGGGAGGGAGUGCAGUGGUGUCAUCGUUGCCGCCCCCACACAGGGAGGAACACCCUUGAGAAUUAGAUUUGCUGCUAUGGAAGCCGUCAGCGCCGGCCCCACUCACAACUUCUUCCAUCGCGCCCACAAGUGUUCUCACUCCUAAUGCGCCGCGCACCACGGACGCUCGUGCUAUGCACACUUCCUCUGUGUGCGCAGCGUUGCCAGCACAGCACCCCUGCGCCGGCGCCUGGAGAAUCGCCUUCGAAAACAGCCCUAAAUGCCGAGGUGAGUGUGUCAACGGCGCCACCACCGACAACCUCUUCAUCGGCGGUGCCUUCGGGCUCUGCCACGGACCAGCACAGAGGCGCCGAUGCCCCCUAUCGAUCGCUCUAUCCUCAAGUCAAGCUGCGUGCCACAACGCAGGAGCGCCCCUACAAGCGGAGAGGGUUUGUAGCCUUCGAAGAGGCGGAGACGGGCGUCGAGCAGCGGCCUCGCUUAGAGGACGGCUCUGCGCAAGUAAUCGCCCACUUACCCACUGCUGCUGAGACGGGUGGCGCCGCCAUCCUCCCAGGCCAUCGGCGCUCCAACGCGCAAACGUCGCUCGCCACGCAGGAAGGCGGUUGCGGUCAGCUGAGCGACGCAGCGGAAGGAAACGAGGCUCAGCAGUUCCUCGACGAGGUGCAGCGGCAGGUCGACGUUGCCCGGCACGCGCGCAACCAAGCCAUCCCCUUCCCCCAAAAACCGGAGGCGAACAGCCCGGCGUUUCGUCGCAUCAAGCGGCACGCAAAAAUGAAGAUUGAGGUGCCCGACCCAGAUUACCCCACAUUUGCCCGCAAGGAUAAAGUGAUGCAGCUGCCCCCGCCGCACGAGCAUCCGUGGGUGCGCAAGAACACCCCGAUCGGUCCCUUCAUCGUUCACGGCGACGGGCAAAUCCACCAGACGGGCGGGACGGGGCAGGUAGACUUCGACGAUAGCUCGGUGAAUGAGAAGCUGCCGCAGUCGUACCGUGGGCUGCAGCACCGGUCGACGCUGCAGCGGCAGCUCCCGCAGGACAACGGUCGCGUGCUUCAGGAGGCUGUCAUAAAGCACAGCUUCACGCUGACCGGGCGAGGCCUCUUCGCGACGCGGCGCAUUGCAAAGGGAGAGACGAUCAUGAUUGUCCAGAGCACCGCGCGCAACGUCGGUGUGAAGGGCGAACUGCAGCGACUGGAGGAGAUGUGCACAGAUAUCCUCAUCGCCUGCCGCGACGGCGACGCGCGUGCGUGCGACUACCUGCACGACUGGAUUCUGACUGGGCAGCCCUCCUCAUUACUGGAGCACUGGCCUGCCGCAAGCACGUCGCGCGUGAUGGAUGCGAUCGGCGGGGCGGACGUGCUUCGCGCACUGGAGCUGCACCCCAUCCACAUCGCGCGCAUGGCCGCCAUUAUCGAUCUAAACAGCUUCCUCGUUGAGAGUAGCUUUUCGGAGCGCAAGGGCAUGGCCUAUUUUCCCGAGGCUGGCUUCCUGAAUCACAGCUGCGCGCCGAACGCGACGUACGACAUUAUGCCGGAGCACGUCUUUCGCGAAACGGACUACUACCUGGAUGAGGCAACAAGGGCAACCGCGGCAGAGAGUGGGGAAGAAGAGGAUGUACAGGGUACCGUCAUGGCUGCCGACGACGCCGGCACGAGCUCCACGGCCGCCCCAUGCCCCGCGCGCGCAGCACAGCCGCCGGCGGCAGUGGGAUACAUCUCGUCCAGCCAGGUUUUGGUUUGUGACGGCGUGCCAGAAGGACAACGUCACGUGGCGUUAUUUGGCCGCGAGGAUCGCCUCGCGGCCUACCCGGACCUCACCGAGGCCGACGCCCCUGUGUAUCUCUUCUGCUGCCGGGCCGAGAAGGAGAUCGAAGCCGGGGAGGAGAUCGUCAUCAGCUACGUGCCCCCGCAGUGGUCCUUCGACAACCGGCAGUACGUCCUGCACGACCGCUAUCGGUUUUGGUGCAAGUGCCCCAAGUGCUCACCAGUGCUCGACAAGAAGUACGCGCGGGUGCCGAAGAUGAUCGUCGCGAUGGUGCUGGUGAGCAUCGUGCUUCAGAUCAUGGUCUUUCGGCAGCGCAGCCUCAAAAAUGCAGUGGACAAGGACUACGAGCAGCUGGCGGCCAUGUCGGAAGAGGAGCGACUGGAAGAACUGCGUGCGCGCGGCAUCGACGUGGAGGCGAUCACAGCGGACGCUGUCGAACGACGCAAGCAGCGGCGCGUCGGGCUGUUUGAGAUGCUCGAGGAGGACCGGCUGAACCGCCUGUACGAGCCGGAGAACCGCGGUCCGAUGAACAUUGUCAACCUCAUGGACGCACACGCAAAGCCCCCACGGUAGUGCUCACACGUGCACAUGUCGUGGUGUGCGCAGUGCGGUUAAAGGAAGCUGAUCAAGAUGAGAGCGAUGAUGAUCACGUACAAUGUGCGCAUCCUUCGCGAGAUGACGGCACUGCUCCUUACACCAUCGGGCGUGCGCAGCUAGAAAAUGCGCACCUCAUAUUUACUGCAUGUCGUAGGGGUGAAGAGGGGUGAGCAGCAGCCGUCAUCCGUGUUUCUGCCCUCUUGCGCUUCGAAGUCUCCGCGGGGUGGUGACGCGAGAAGUCAGAGGUCGCUCUCACACGCUGCUGGGCCCUUGCGCAGACGGGCAAGUGGCCGCCGUCGAUGAAAACGCGUCGUGCCGUCUCCUUUAGGCCCAGGGGCACGGCCGCGAUGUGUGCGCUCUCAUGAUCCAGCAACCCACCCCCUCCUUGCCUGCAUGGCCUCUGGCGUCUAUCCUGUCCUCUGCUCGCACAGCAUGGCAGCUGCAAUGCGCACGCCCCUCUCGCUCCCUGCACUCUCUCCUCCCCUCUCUUUCUGCAG